UAGGGAAUCUUCGGCAAUGGACGGAAGUCUGACCGAGCAACGCCGCGUGAGUGAAGAAGGUUUUCGGAUCGUAAAGCUCUGUUGUAAGAGAAGAACGAGUGUGAGAGUGGAAAGUUCACACUGUGACGGUAUCUUACCAGAAAGGGACGGCUAACUACGUGCCAGCAGCCGCGGUAGUACGUAGGUCCCGAGCGUUGUCCGGAUUUAUUGGGCGUAAAGCGAGCGCAGGCGGUUAGAUAAGUCUGAAGUUAAAGGCUGUGGCUUAACCAUAGUAGGCUUUGGAAACUGUUUAACUUGAGUGCAAGAGGGGAGAGUGGAAUUCCAUGUGUAGCGGUGAAAUGCGUAGAUAUAUGGAGGAACACCGGUGGCGAAAGCGGCUCUCUGGCUUGUAACUGACGCUGAGGCUCGAAAGCGUGGGGAGCAAACAGGAUUAGAUACCCUGGUAGUCCACGCUGUAAACGACGAGUGCUAGGUGUUAGACCCUUUCCGGGGUUUAGUGCCGUAGCUAACGCAUUAAGCACUCCGCCUGGGGAGUACGACCGCAAGGUUG
rnacentral:rRNA from 1 species